GAUGAACGCUGGCGGCGUGCCUAAUACAUGCAAGUCGAGCGAACAGAUGACUACCUUCCUCCUCAGACGUUAGCGGCGGACGGGUGAAUAACACGUGGAUAACCUACCUAUAAGACUAGGAAAACUUCGGGAAACCGGAGCUAAUACCGUAUAAUAUAUUGAACCGCAUGGUUCAGUAGAGAAAUACGGUUUUGCUGUCAGUUCUAGAUCUAUCCGCUCGGCAUUAGCUAGUUGGUAAGGUAACGGCUUACCAAGGCGCCGAUGCGUAGCCGACCGGAGAGGGUGAUCGGCCACACUGGAGCUGAGACAGGGUCCAGACUCCUACGGUAGGCAGCAGUAGGGAAUCUUCGGCAGUGGGGGAAAGCCUGACGGAGCAGCGCCGCGUGAGUGAUGAAGGUCUUCGGAUCGUAAAACUCUGUUACUAGGGAAGAACAACUGUGUAAGGAACUAUGCACGACUUGACGGUACCUAAUCAGAAAGCCACGGCUAACUACGUG
rnacentral:rRNA from 1 species